GUUCUAGAACAAGCAAAAGUAAACUAUGGUGACAGAAAGACAAAUUUCACAUGUUCUCAUUCAUGUGUGGGAGAAAUCUACCAUCUUGGCAGCUCUGGCAUAUCCUCUACCUUUUAUCUUUUUCAUCUGAGUUAAGAAAUCUACCAUCUUGGCAGCUCUGGCAUAUCGGGGAAUGCCAACUUGAGUUCAACUUCAGAAGACACAAUAGGCUUCCUGGAGGGAAUAUAGAAGACCUCAGGAUACACACUUGGCCACUGGAUUGAGAUUCUUGAAUGUUAGAAGAAAGAUCCAGCAGUUUCGCUGAAGAUCUCAAAAGGUGAUGAUGAUUCAUUAACAAGAUGGCUUGAAUUGUUUCAUCCAUCAGCCCUUCUCACUUCUUAGUUUUGGUUCAAUCUGCUUCUUCUGUCUAGAACGACUCAUUCAGCUUUAUCCAUCCUUCAAAUUUCAAUGCAAGCACCACUCUCUUCAAGAACCAUUCCAGACACCUUCUCCCUGCACUGUUGUGAGUAAUCUCAUCUUCCCCUGGAAUGAUGCUUGAUAUCCUAGUGGAUAUGAACUGUGUCUCAGCCAUCUCUACUGCUUUCAUUAUGGCAUAGUCUUCUGAACAUGAUACAAACUCAUCCCAUGUUUUUGAAAUGGAUAUAUUUAAGACAAAAAUGUUAAUAGCACCUCCAGGAUGCUGGUUUCCAGGAUGAAUAACUGCCAAUGCAAAAAUUAGCAAAGUCAAGUAUAAAUUGCCUACAAGAAAAAUACUGAGAAAUAAAGGUUAUAGCAUGCAGAAUAAACUGGAAUGCAAAUAAUCAAAGAUCAAAUAAAA